CAGCCAUCUUUGAGUAUCACAACCCCGCUGUUCAAUGAGAUUCGUUAGCACAUUUUGAAACAUUGUAAAGCUCUGUUUCAGGCUAGCUGGCGAAGCUGCUGCAUCUCCUCCUCCUACUUUGUUGACUGCAGCCCUAGAGGGUCAGCGAGUGUCUGCUCAUAACAAAUACCACUCUCCCCGAAUCACAGAGGAACGUGAGCUCUUUUCGUGGGAUUUGUCUUAAACCUCUAAAGUACCAAUACACACUCCUAGUGAAAUAAUGAAUCCAGGCAAUCGUCUGCAAUGGUUGCUGACAUUACAGAGGGGCCGAAGGAAAUUACGUGGCUCCUAUUGGAAUUUUACAAUACCACCUAUAAGUCUCAGUUUGGUCGGAAGCCCAGGUAUUUGCUCUGCCAUUAUGGACCGUAAAGUGAUUCCUGGAGGCUCCUUUCAUCGGAUCCUUUUUCUUAUCACUCAAGAACCACCAAGAGGUAGGCACAUGGUACUAUCAGAGUCUCAUGCAACUUUAAAUCUUGGGUGGAAUUAUGCAAAGUUGGAGGAAAUUAUUGGAGCUCCUGAAUGUCAAUGGUACAAUUUGGGCAAGAUUGACAGCAAGACCUUCUGGAGUCCCCUGGUUUUGUGUAGUUCAAGACUCGAUUGUCAUCUCUUCCUUCCAAUUUGUGGUCCCCCUAUAUCCUUUCAGUUAAUCCUUCCCUUUGUGAUUAUGUUUGCUGGGACAGUUUCUGUUGCCUGCCACCAUAGAACCUUAACUGAUUCCUACAGCUUGGGAGGAAGCAUCAUGAAGUGGAAGAACCCUGAGCAGAGAGUCAUGGGACCUGAGCUCUAGUUGUGGCUUUGCAGCUAACUUGCUUUGAGACCCAGGAGAGAUCCUCAAACCUCUUUGGACUUUAAUUUCCUCAUCUAUGAAGACAAUAGGCCAGAUAACCUUGAAGGUUCAGUUUUUAAAACUAUAAUUUCAUGGCUCGGUUGUUACUUACUGGUUAGGGACCACUAUCAGAAAAUAAUGAUGCUUUAAUUAAAGUAAGAACUUUUGUAGAAGUUUCCCUUGAUGUUUCAACACAUGAGGUGCUGUGACUAUGCCAGAUAUGUCAAUCCGUGACUGAGUGUUUACUCCGUAGGUCAUCUCUUGGGUGGGGUGACCGGAUAUUGGAACAGAUUCCUACAACAGAGAGAGUGAAGGGGCAUGUAACUGCCUGUUCUUGGAAAAUAUUACUUCAGCUCACUGGGGUGUUUCUGACAGAAUGAGCCUCAAAGAUGAUUGAUGGGGUUGGCUUUAGAUCCAGAGAGUGGGAAAUGCUGACGCAUUACAUUAAAAUUCAAAUAGAACCCAUUCAGCAGAUAUUUGCUGGGAGUAAGGCACCCUGCCUUUCAGAGGGCUUGAGCCUGUUGUAAAUUUGAGGUGUGUAUACACAAUGCCUCAUUUGGGAGUGAUUGUCACGGAAUGUUUCCUAACUUUUCUAGGCUUUUCCUUGUUUCUGGUUUCGUAAAAUUUGG
rnacentral:lncRNA from 1 species